CCUACGGGAGGCAGCAGUAAGGAAUAUUGGACAAUGCCCGCAAGGGUGAUCCAGCCAUGCCGCGUGCAGGAAGAAGGCCCUAUGGGUCGUAAACUGCUUUUACACCGGAGAAAACCUCCCUUCGUGAAGGGAGCUGAUAGUAUGGUGAGAAUAAGCAUCGGCUAACUUCGUGCCAGCAGCCGCGGUAAGACGAAGGAUGCAAGCGUUAUCCGGAUUCAUUGGGUUUAAAGGGAGCGUAGGUGGACUGAUAAGUCAGUGGUGAAAUCUUCGAGCUUAACUCGGAAAUUGCCAUUGAUACUGUUAGUCUUGAGUACAGUUGCUGUGGGCGGAAUAUGACAUGUAGUGGUGAAAUACAUAGAGAUGUCAUAGAACACCGAUUGCGAAGGCAGCUCACAAAGCUGUAACUGACACUGAGGCUCGAAAGUGCGGGGAUCAAACAGGAUUAGAUACCCUGGUAGUCCGCACUAGUAACGUAUAGUAUUACUCGUCUGCUAGAGGACGUACGUUUACGUU
rnacentral:rRNA from 1 species